CUGCAGGAGGGGCGGUUAGGAGACCCCUACCCACCCAGCGCUGUUUUGCUUGCUACUGCUUGCUGUAAUUAAUAAAAUUCUAAUUGACCUUCAAAAGGCUGAAUCAAAUUAUUCGCCUCAAUUUAUCACAGGGAGAAGGCUAAAGGGAGGGGAAAUAUAACAUUAACCAGUGGGGAAAAGGGAAAGGAGUGUUCUUGGUGGAAGAACUAAAGGGAAAACGUGGAACAGAGAAGAUUCUAGGCUAAGGGGCAGACUUGAACAAUAACUGACAAGACAGGGGGAGGGUACAAUUCUCCUACAAAAGGGGGUGGAGAAUUCAUACAACUGCUGUUUCCCAUGGCAACCCUAGACUGCCUUCCCCAACCCCUCCUCCUACACCAGUGACAGCUUUUCACACUGAAGGGCAGUGCUAUUGUAUAACAAACACUUAACUCUUAGCCCAGCCGGGCUCGCUGGCUACUUUUGCAAGCUUUUUACCAACUAGCGAUGCUUGUAAGCGGUGCUUGUAACUCCUAGCUUGUACCACGCUGCCACUAGCUGCGCUAUCAGCUAGCGGCGUUCAAAGCAGCUCCUCAAACCGCGGCUUGUGCCCGCGCGCCCGCUGCGCUAUCAGCUGGGCUGCGCCUAAAGCACCUUUGCAAGCCCCGACUUAAGCCCCGCGCCGCGCUCCCCUCGCUCGCCAGGGACAGCCCGUGCCACGCAUGCGCCCCACCCGCUCUAUCAGGUAGAGUGGCUGCUAGCCGCCCCGAGCAUGCGCACUACCCGCACUAGCAGGUAGUGUGGCUGAGCUGCCCCGCGCAUGCGCACUACCCGCACUAGCAGGUAGUGUGGGCUGAGAGCUGCCCUGCGCAUGCGCUCUCUAGCACUGCCGCGCCGCGUCUCUCUAUCUUAGCAACGCCGCACCGCGCAUCACUGUUCCACUCACACAUACACACACACGCACAAGCACGCACGUCCGGACGUAACAGACACACUACACUGCAAUCGGGACACACACCACACACUGAAAUCGCGAUUUCGCCCUCCCCGAGCCGCGCUAUCAGCUGGGGAGGUCCUCCCGCCGCCGGCCUCUCCCCCGAUGGCGGUCUGCUUGCAAGCCCCUAGGCAAACCUGCGCGCAAAAACAUCUUUUUGCGACUUAUCAGUGCCAACCUUAAGAAAAUAAAUUAAUACACACCGCUUUCAUCCGCUAGUCGACGGGCCGUGGUAUGCUCCCCGCAGUGUACAGCCGAGGCGCAGAGUCCCUCCGGGGAAAAGCCCCGUGGCGCCUGAGGGUGUCUGCUCCCAACCGGACCUGCGGGUGAGCAGAGCAGUCCCUUCGUGGUCGCCAACUGAAACGAUACGCGGAAUAAAUCAAUAGAUUCCAUAACCUGGGUUAGUUAUGAAGUGGGUAUGUACGUCAGCGCCCGGGACAAGUGAGAUAGCUCUCCAAAACUUGUGCCCCGAGCCUCAGUCUGACCCACACUUUUAUUAAAGAUGUUCCAUAUGCAAUACACUGCACGACUUUUUCAUGCGUAUUCAACCCCUGGCCCCGCCUGUCCUCGCUUCCCAUGCUAAGUAAGUCCACGCCCUUCUGGGCAUGCGUGGUUUGCUGUGGUGGUCGUACGGGGGGUCUCUUGGUGGUCCUGAGGCUGAAGAUUAUGGUCUUCCUCAUGAUUGAACUUUUGAACUUUUCCUCUCUGCGCGUGCGCUUUUGGUCCUUUGGUGCUUAUCUGAGUACGUCUGUCAGUCUUGAUAGGCUUAGAGACAGAGGAGCUUCUUUAUCUGGGUUCUUUGCUUCUUCUGGUAUUGUUCUUUAUGCAAAAAGCUUCAGAAAUUUGCAUUUUCCCUUGCCCUUUGUAUUAGGCAGAGGUUUCUUAAGUAAAAGGUUGAAAAUUCAACAGAUAACUCUACAAGCUAAAUUAGAAAUGCUUAAUUCAUUUUGUUAACCUAACUCUAAAAAUCUCUGUUUCACCUCGAGAGCUGUCACAGAGCAGAAGGGCAGCUGAGAUGCUGAAAAGCAGCAAAGCUGAACAGCCUGCCUCAGCUUCAGCAGUGUGCAAUUGACUGAAGGCAAAACACGAAGCAGCAGAGCAGCGGGCUUCUCUGCCACCGUGUUCUCUGCAUCUCGGAGCCUCUGGGGAGCAACAAGAAUUUCCAAGGUGGUGUAAGAGCCCGUCUGAAGCCCCUCAUUUUCCGUUCUGCCUUCCGAUUGCCACGAGAAAGAAUCCCUUCCUCCACUGCAGUUCCGGCUUAGAACAGGACACAGUGCAGGUGCAACCACUGAACCGUCAUGCUAGCUGUUCCGAACAAGGCCUGGCAAGAACUUGGCAAGGACUUGGCAAGAACUUGGCAAAGACCUGACGUGGACCCAGCACGGGACAGCCUGAUGCGCGGCCUGCUUCUAAUCUCCGUUCUUAAGCCAAAUGAACUUUUGGGGUGUCUCCCGGGGUCCUUCAUUGAAGACCCCUCAUCUGCCUCGUUACCACUGUGACAAACAAAGAAUGAGAACCCUCCUCCCAAGGACUGAGACUGAGACCCCUGCUACAGGGAGGAGGGGAAAUUGGUGGUCUGACCACUAAUGACAUGACCUGCUUCCCUUCAGUGAUUCAAAUGGACUCAUUCUUCAUUGUAUUCGUCUUGCUUUGGUGGUUUCUGUGGACUCAGCUGUUCCCGCGUGGCGAUUACAAUGGACUUUUGUUGUUACACUUGCUCCCCCCUCUUUCCUCUGUGGACUAUAACUGGAGCCCCGAGUCGACCAGAACUUCGGAGACUCCCCCGACACGACAGACGGAACCCCAUCGUCCGGACCACUGAGGAUCUCGCCUGUGUUGGUAGCUAUUCCCAUACCCCUCUUCUCUCUCUCUCUCUCUCCUUUUAUCUCCUUUCCGAUCCCCACUAUCGCAUUUACUGUUUUGGCCCCUAAUAAAGGUGCAUUUGUUGUGAUUAA